UAUGAUUUGUACAUUUUCAGUAUGUGCUUGUUCUAUUUUUAAACAAAACAAUCUGAAGUUGUCUUUAUUUUUAAGUUAUCGUGCUGUGAUUUUACCAGUCCGGCCCACUUGGGAGUAGAUUUUUCUCCAUGUGGCCCCCGAUCUAAAAUGAGUUUGACACCCCUGACUUACAGUAUCAGUGUCAAUACAGCUGUUGAGUGUGCCACACGAUCACCGGGGCCUCAUUUACCCAUCACUAGGAUUUACACUUAUUUUCUAUGAGACAAAUUGCUUCGGUUUGGCUUUCUCCUGAGCGUAUUACUAACCAAUGCACCAAAGUAUUCAUCUACUCAAUACUUUUCUAUGCCAAAAUUUGAGGGUUACGCUUUCACUGCCUUGCAUGAAACGUGUCAUUUCUUCCAGUGUGAUCCAGUCCAACACAAUCAGCCAAGUUCAGCUCCAAUUUUAUUACCUUGCCAGGAUGACAUGAUACUACAUUACGAGGCAUGCACACAGUGUGAGUCUUCGUUCCGUUCUUCCCUCCCAGGACUCCAAAGCUAAACGCACAAGUGGGAGGAUGUUUGCAGUGACUAAACCAUCACAUUCAAAUACUUGGCAUGGCAAUAGGACGGCUCACACGACACGGUUACAUUCACUUCAGUCCGGAACGGCAAUGAUCAACACACACAGCAAAAAGCAGACGGACACACAUUUUUGUCCAUACAGGUA